rnacentral:misc_RNA from 1 species
GAUGAAGAACGUAGCGAAAUGCGAUACUUGGUGUGAAUUGCAGAAUCCCGUGAACCAUCGAGUCUUUGAACGCAAGUUGUGCCCGAAGCCAUUAGGCCGAGGGCACGCCUGCCUGGGCGUCACACGUCGUUGCCCCCCCAUCUACUCCUUCGGGAUUGCGGGGGGCGGAUGAUGGCCUCUCGUGCGCCUCGUCGCGCGGUUGGCCUAAAUGCCAAGUCCUCGGCGACGCACGCCACGACAAUCGGUGGUUGCGAAACCUCGGUUGCCUGUCGUGUGCGGUCGUCGCGCAUCGAGGGCUCGAAAAAAUUGCCGGGCUUCGGCUCGACUUUCAACGCGACCCCAGGUCAGGCGGGGUUACCCGCUGAAUUUAAGCAUAUCAAUAAGCGGAGGA